AUGGAUCCGGUGUCUGGCUCCCGCAGCCCGGACUGGGAGGUCUCGGGCUCCGGGGGGAAGCGUCGCAGUUCGUCAAAGAGCCCUAAGCCCAGCAAAAACUCUCGCUCCCCGCGGGGCCGCCGCUCUCGCUCGCACUCUUGCUCUCGGUCCGGGGACCGGAAUGGCUUUAGCCAUCAACUGAGUGGCCCCAGCCAAGGCUCCCAAAACCAGUCCUACCGCUGCCGCUCGCGGUCACGCUCUCGAGAGCGGCCCUCCGCGCCGCGGGGCGCCCCUUUCGCUUCUGCCUCCUCGUCCGCCUAUUAUAGCGGCUACUCACGCCCCUGCGGGAGCGACAAGCCAUGGCCUAGCCUCCUGGACAAGGAGAGGGAAGAGAGCCUGCGGCAGAAGAGAUUAAGUGAGAGAGAGAGGAUUGGAGAAUUAGGAGCUCCUGAAGUAUGGGGACUUUCUCCAAAGAAUCCAGAACCAGACUCUGAUGAACAUACACCAGUAGAGGACGAAGAGCCAAAGAAAAGCACCACUUCAGCUUCUACUUCAGAAGAAGAAAAGAAGAAGUCUAGUCAUUUAAAAGAAAGGUCCAAGAAAAGGAGGAAGAAAAAGUCGUCUAAAAGAAAACACAAGAAGUAUUCUAAUGAUAGUGACAGUGACUCUGAUUCUGAAACAGACUCCAGUGAUGAAGAUACAAAAAGGAGAGCAAAGGAAGCCAAGAAAAAGGAAAAGAAGAAGAAACGCAGAUCGAAGAAAUAUAAGAAAAAUAAGUCUAAGAAGAGCAGAAAAGAUUCCAGUGACUCAUGUUCUAAAGAGUCCCAAGAAGAGUUUCUGGAGAAUCCCUGGAAGGAUCGAUCAAAGCCUGAAGAACCCUCAGAUUUGAUUGGUCCAGAGGCUCCCAAAACACUUGCCUCUCAAGAUGAUAAACCUUUGAACUAUGGCCAUGCUCUGUUACCUGGUGAAGGUGCAGCUAUGGCUGAAUAUGUAAAAGCUGGAAAACGUAUCCCACGAAGAGGUGAAAUUGGCUUGACAAGUGAAGAAAUUGCAUCAUUUGAAUGCUCGGGUUACGUAAUGAGUGGUAGCAGGCAUCGCCGAAUGGAGGCUGUGCGACUGCGAAAAGAGAACCAGAUCUAUAGUGCUGAUGAGAAGAGAGCCCUUGCAUCCUUUAACCAAGAAGAGAGACGAAAGAGAGAAAACAAGAUUCUGGCCAGUUUUCGAGAGAUGGUAUACAGAAAAACUAAAGGGAAAGAGGACAAAUAAGGAUUUUCUGAUUGUUCAUCAGACAUUUUUAACAACAAAAAAGAAAGUUUGGGUUCCAUAUAUACACACAAAAAGAUUACCAUGAUCUGAAAAAGCUUUACAGUGCUACUGUGUCUUCUAUUUAAUUCUUUCAGUCCUUCUAUAAAAAGCUGCUUAUUGAU